rnacentral:lncRNA from 1 species
UAAUUAAAGAGAUAAAGACCAUUCCUGAGAGAGAAAAAAUUCUCCCACACACAAUAUCCUUCAUUCUAAUUUUUUGUAAGUCUUCUCUUUUGGCUUCAAAUAUCACCACUUAAGAGAAUGGCCCAUUCUCCUAAUGCUGAAGAAAAACUGUACCUUGCCAAAUGGAACUGUAGGGUUCACUGAAUACCGAUGAUAACUCUUUCUUUAGUGUGUCUGAGUCUGUGUUGAGAUCAUAAUGUAAUAAAGUUUCUUUCUUUUUUUUUUCCGUAUGACUAAAGUCCUUAGGAUGAAGACCAAAAAGUCUCUACAAUAUGUUUCUAUAGUGUAGUUGUCUUAAUCUUUGCUUUUAGAAUUUUGUAUAAUAGUGAAAUUGAGGGGGUACGUUUUACAUACUGUAAUGACAUAAGAGGUGGAGUUUUUUAUUAUACAUGCUCUGUAUUUCUAAUUUUUUGUGGAUAUAAUUAUGGAAUAUUCUUUAAACUAAAUGCAACACCAUGUGAAAUCAGAUGUGGUGCCCUCCUUUAAACCGGGAGUGUGGAAUUACCAACCAGUAAAAAUUGGUGCUGAUACAUUUCCAAGCCAGUAACACCACACCAACUCAUCACAUUGUCACACUCCAAAAUGCUAAUUGCUAAAGACAGAAAUCAUUUUCUAAUAGCCAUGUCCUCAAGCCUACAGAUUUAAUAAAAUGAAAUAUACAUGUGAGGAGAUUUUCAUUCUCUUGUUCUCAUUACUCCCCAAUUUUAUCUCUUGUUCCAUACACAACAAUUUUGGAUAGGGCUGUGGACUAGAGGUAGCAAGGGGAAGAUGUUCAUAUUUGCAUAACACUUCAGUUUUACAAUAUAAAAGGCAGUCAAAAUUGUAAUGAAAAGUAUUUGCUCAUAGAGGUUCUACUUUGAAGACAAUGAAAAUCCUAAAUACACCCUCAAAUAUGUUUUGUAAAAAGUUGUAGCUUCUCCUCCAGGAGUAUAUACUUCUGGGGUAUUUUUUAUACAGAACACAGGGAUCCUGAGUGGGAAGGUAGUGAUAGAAUAAGCCAGGCAGGUCUUAAAAAGGAGGAAGGGAAAGAGACUGACUGAAAGGGUCACUAGACAGGAAAGGAAAGAAAUAUUGUAUAGUGUAUUUUGGAAUUUCCAUUAUAAAAUAAAAUACAUAUGAUUCCUGAUCCAGGAAUCACAAAUCCUAAGGAUUCACACACAACUUCCAACUUCAAAGAAAGGAUGGACGAUUUUAUGACAUACAUGGGUGCUAGAUUUCUAUUAAAAUAUGAAAGAAGAAAAAAAGUCUCACUUUUUAAGGCAAAGUUCCAAAUUUGCAAUUCCAUCAGUAUAAAAGUAAACCAAGUUCAGAGAUUUGACUGAAGAUUUAAUUUUCCUUCAGUUCAGCCAAGAGAAGCUAAGAUAGGGAAGAAAAAGCCAAGUUUGUUGCCCAAAGUGGGGACAAUUUUUCAGAAAUGAAGUUUAUAAUAAGCCAAGAUUAGAUCUGUAUUUAGCAUUCCCAGAUUGUCCCUAAAACUUUCCAUUACAGAUCUCGGAGUAAAAGAUCCUUUUUUUAGAGUGCUGCUACCUUGACGGUAAGAUUUGUAAUCAUUUCAAGAAAACCUUCAUUGCUUUUCAAGCUCAGAAGUAGGAGAGGGCUUUAGGAGUGCAUUGCAUUCAACAUUUCGUCCAAAGUGAUCUGAAAACAUGCCUGACACCUUUACUUGACUUUUUCUGCUCUGAUCUCUCUUACCGGUUUUGACUAUAGGAACAUACCUGUUCAAGUACAUCAGGAGAAAUGUAUCAGGGACUGGUUGAGCUGGAGAAUGGCCAGAAUGACAAAAACAAAUCUCAAGCAACCUGAAUAAUGUUGACCGUUUUAUUCCAUUAUGAGUCCUCCCGACCCCUCCUUCUUCAGCUCUGCCACCAGGCUGACCACAAACAGCCUUCACUGAUAAUAGUCGCUAAAUUUGACUCACUGCAGAUAUCAUCACUUUUAAACUUCGGGAAGGGAAAAGACACACAAACACACCUGUUCUUUCUCCUCCCACACAUUUUGGCCUUUAAAGCUAUUUUUAGCCAAAGCAAUUCAUUUUUGUUCCUUCCCAUUGCAUUCUUUUUAGCAGUAGUUAAACUGUCAAGAGAAGGAACAGCCAGCGUUUACUACACUGGUGAUGGGGGAAAAAUUCCCUAGAGGAUGAUUACACCAAAGUGUGGGGGGAAAGUCCCUAGAGGUUUUAGAAUUUUUUAAAUGGGGCAAUUUACAACUUAUUAAGUAUUUGGAUAUUUCUGGAACCCCAAAGUGGGUCACGUAUCAUUAUCUGCAGGCCAAUCAGAUUCCAUAAGGAAGUUUCCUUUAAAGUUUGCAAAUAGUAACUUCAAGAGUGAGAUGAAAUUUAACUCUAAAAAAAUCAUGCUUGAAAAAAAGAUAGAUUCCAAAAAUCCCAAAAGUCUUUUAAGCUCCAAUGUCUAAUAGCUUUCCAAAAACCUCUCAUCUUAGGGUUUCUCCUUAGGUUGUUACUGCAUUUUGUUCAUAGGCUAAUGCAUUACCUAAAUAUAGAUAGCCAUUUUUAGUAUAAAUUCCAAAAGCCAUAAAUGUUUCAUAAUUGAGCACAUAAUUUGAAGUAAGAGAGCUUUUCCACUCAUCCUCUUUUACUGUUGCAAAUUGGAAAAUACUCAAGUAAUUACUCCCUUAAUAGUUCAAUGCUUGCAACUUUAUAUACUUUAUGAACAUCACAAGCAUCCUUUGCUCCCCAGAGCAAUAUGGAGGGGGGGAGCACAAAAGAACUUAACUUGUAUAAUUAACCAAAUCAUCCAUUGCUUUGAUUCAAGAUUCCUUCAUUAAGCCAUUAAUAUAAUACAUUGCUAAGUGGUGGGUUGUCCAAUUUUUAUGAUGCCUUUCAUUUCAAUUCAAUGGCUGCAGUUAGAAUGGAAAAAAAAAAAAAAACCAGCAUCUGCAAGAUCAGCAAGAUGAUGCAAAACCCUUACACUAGAAACAUUUUUUCUGCCUCCACACAGUUUGUCUGAAGGCAGUCAAUGCCAGAGCACCAAUAAGGGAAGUGAUUGUAAGUCCCAGAAAGUAGAAUUCAUUUGUCCUUACCCAAUAAAUAAAAGGGCAAAUAAAACACUUGAUUCCUAUGACCUCAAACACUUAAACAGAAAGCCACUGGUCAUUUUAUGGUUUUCUAAACAUACUCCAAGAUAGACAGCCAGUUUGUAAUUCUAUUCCACUUUAGGCUACACCACAUAUUUCCCACCAGAGUUUAUGUACCACAAUGUGGAAUGUCAUAUAUGUACCAUUUGGUCAUUGUUCAGUGAUGUUAUAUUUACAUAAAUGACAUAUGUGGGAAUCUGACAUGCAGAGAAAAACUUAUAUCCUAAAGCACAGCAUUUUAUUUCUAAACUUGGACACAGUGCAAAAAAUUCAAUGCUGAGAAAGAUGUUGCUUUUGCUAUUAGAGAUGGUGUAAAUGAUCUGAAUUUGAGUUCUUUAUGACUUCAGUUAACUUUAAGUGUUUAUAUAUGAUGAAAGUCUAAUUAUGUAUCUUUUGAUACACCCUGGAUACUUCACUGCUUUUAAAAAUAGUUGCAGAUAAAUGGAGUUCAGUUUACGGUCUAUUUAUAACUGAAUGACUGACAAAGGAUAGGUAAGUUCACAAGAAAAAACUUACUACUGAAGAUUAUAUUUUUUUAAAUUAUAGUCUAUGCAGUAUUUCCAAAGGCCUGAGAAAUAAAACAAAAGUAAUAUAAUCAUAAAAAGCCAGUCAUCUCAAAUUUUAGAAUCUUACAUAAAAGAUAUGUAACUGUAUAUGAAUUAGAGAUUUCAGUAACUAAAAAUGAUCAAUCAGGUUGCCAGUUUUUGCCAUAAAAGAGUUCCAGAGAAGCCCAUCACUUUCCCCCAGGAUGUAAAAUGUCCACACAGAUAAACGGCAAGAUAAAUAAAUCUUCCAUUGGAAAUCUGGUUAUUUAUAAGUUUCCAUGUAGUAAGAACAUCAAAAUAAGAACAAAGAGGAGAGCAUAAACAUUGCUUAAAACUAAAAUGGAACAGUCAGAUUUCAAGCUUGGUCCUUUUCUUUUAACCAUACCAGACAAGUCUCAAAUUUAAAACAAGCACUUGUAUUGAAGAGCACCCCCAAUCACCUUUCUGAUUUUGAGUUACAUGAUGACAUACAUAAGAGUAUACGUUUGUUUACUCCUUCUAUAGACUUUUAUACUCCCUCACUACAGUCGCUUUAGUAUAACCAACAGUUAAACACUCACAGUGAUGAAUAUGCUUUUCUUUGGAAAGGAUAUCAAGUCCCAAAUCCAUAUGAAACUGAAAUGCUGUUAUCAAAUCUGUAUUCAAUUUAAUAUUAUCUGUUUCCAACAGUUUGCAAAUUCUUCACUGGUUUAGUCAAGAAAACUGACAUGGAAUAAAAACUCUAGAAGCUCAAAGCUCACUAAACUUUCUUCUUGAAAUAUGCCACUGACAGAUUCUCAGUCAAAAAAGUGAAAGUCAUCAAGGUAAAAAAUUGUUAACUGAAAACUACUCUCUCCAGUCUAUACACACAUGCAAACAGAACCAAACUCUUUACUCAGGUCCAACCUCUAAUUCAAACUCAAAGCAACUAGGUAUCUUUACUGUCAGUCUCCUGCCACACCAACAUCCAUGUGUUCGGCAGAUGAAUGAAGAUACAUGUGCAGAGACAGAAGGAAGAAGGAAACCUGGGUCCUACCUUGACUGUUUUGGAGGGUUGACACUUAAUGUGAUGGGACACGCUGGCUGUUUGGUUCAUGUUUCAGGACCCUGGACAGCGCACGAACCCAGGUGGAGUUCCAGGAGGGACUGGAGAUCA